rnacentral:lncRNA from 1 species
UGGGGUCCCCUUCCACACUGUGGUAGCUUUGUUCUUCUGCUGUUUGCAGUAAAUCUUGCUACUGCUCACUCUUUGGGUCCACACUGCUUUUAUGAGCUGUAACACUCACCGCGAAGGUCUGCAGCUUCACUCCUGAGCCAGCGAGACCACGAACCCACCAGAAGGAAGAAACUCCGAACACAGCCGAACAUCAGAAGGAACAAACUCCAGACGCGCCACCUUAAGAGCUGUAAUACUCAUGGCGAGGGUCCGCGGCUUCAUUCAUGAGUGAUCUUGCAGUGAAGAGGAAUAUAAUAAAUGGCAGCUUUUGGAAUUGUUCAAGAGAUAAUACACCUAUUUCCUUACACAUCUUACUUUAUCUAAUAAAACCUUCUCAACAGCAGGUAAUUAAAAAUAAAUAUUUGUAUUUAUUGUAUGCCAUCUAUAAUAAAAAUUAAAUACUCAUAACUUGUCAAACUGAUUAAAGGGUAUUUUAUUUUAUAGAUUUAAAUAAAAUAUAAUAGAAA